rnacentral:rRNA from 1 species
GACGGGGCCCGCACAAGCGGUGGAGCAUGUGGUUUAAUUCGAUGCAACGCGAAGAACCUUACCUGGGCUUGACAUCCCUGGAAUCCCCUGGAAACAGGGGAGUGCCCUUCGGGGAGCCAGGGGACAGGUGCUGCAUGGCUGUCGUCAGCUCGCGUCGUGAGAUGCUGGGUUAAGUCCCGCAACGAGCGCAACCCUUGCCAUUAGUUGCUACGAAAGGGCACUCUAAUGGGACUGCCGGUGACAAACCGGAGGAAGGUGGGGAUGACGUCAAGUCCUCAUGGCCCUUAUAGGUGGGGCUACACACGUCAUACAGUGGCCGGUACAGAGGGUAGCCAACCCGCGAGGGGGAGCCAAUCCCACAAAGCCGGUCGUAGUCCGGAUCGCAGUCUGCAACUCGACUGCGUGAAGUCGGAAUCGCUAGUAAUCGCGGAUCAGCAUGUCGCGGUGAAUACGUUCCCGGGUCUU